rnacentral:rRNA from 1 species
AGCAUGUGGGCUAAGCUGUGUGCUCGAGAGGGAAACAGCCCGGACCGCCCGCUAAGGUCCCCAAGUUCCAGCCGAGUGGCAAAGGAUGUGCGUCCGCCCAGACAACCAGGAUGUUGGCUUAGAAGCAGCCAUCCAUUCAAAGAGUGCGUAACAGCUCACUGGUCGAGUGGACAUGCGCCGACAAUACACGGGGCUAAGCUGGACACCGAAGCGGCGGGAUUUUAAUUCAUUAGAAUCGGUAGGGGAGCUUCCCAUGGGCGGAGAAGCCGGAGGGCGACCGACGGUGGAGCGCAUGGGAGUGAGAAUGCUGGCAUGAGUAGCGAGAGACGAGAGAGUAACUCGUCCGCCGUGAACCCGAGGUUUCCUGGGCAAGGCUAAUCCUCCCAGGGUCAGUCGGGGGCUAAGGCGAGGCCGGGAGGCGUAGCCGACGCGCAGCAGGCAGACAUUCCUGCACCGCGCACGCGGCGCUACGACCGACGGGGCGACGGAUGGGGGUGGCUCGGCGGGGUUCUGGACGUCCCCGUGAUGGAGCGCGGCCCGCGGACCAGGGAAAUCCGGUCCGCAUUGAGGGCGAGGCUCCGGACGAAGCGACUGAGCGAAGCGAGUGAGCCCGAGGUCCCUAGAAAAACCCCUAGGCAGGCGCGUGCGCGCCCGUACCGCAAACCGACACAGGUGGGUGGGUAGAACAUACCGAGGCGAUCGGGUCAACCAUGGUCAAGGAACUCGGCACAAUGGCCCCGUAACUUCGGGAGAAGGGGUGCCCGCGCGUACGUGAACGGACUUGCUCCGGGAGCGGAGGCGGGCCGCAGUGGAGAGGCCCAAGCGACUGUUUACCAAAAACACAGGACUCUGCAGAAGCCGCAAGGCGACGUAUAGGGUCUGACGCCUGCCCGGUGCCGGAAGGUCACGCGGAGGAGUUAGCGCAUCGCGCGAAGCCCCGAAGCCAAGCCCCGGUAAACGGCGGCCGUAACUAUAACGGUCCUAAGGUAGCGAAAUUCCUUGUCGGGUAAGUUCCGACCUGCACGAAAGGCGCAACGACUUGGGCGCUGUCUCGACCAUGGACCCGGUGAAAUUGCACUGGUCGUGAAGAUGCGACUUACCCGCGGAAGGACGGAAAGACCCCGUGAACCUUCACUGCAGCUUGGCAUUGGCCGCUGGUCCCGCGUGUAGAGGAUAGGCAGGAGGCACAGAUCCGGAGGCGCCAGCCCCCGGGGAGCCGCCCUUGGAAUACUGCCCUCGCGCGACCGGCGUCCUAACCCGAGGCCGUCAACCGGCUCGGGGACCGUGCCAGGCGGGCAGUUUGACUGGGGCGGUCGCCUCCUAAAGGGUAACGGAGGCGCGCGAAGGUCCGCUCGGGACGGUCGGCAACCGUCCUUUUGAAUGCAAGAGUACAAGCGGGCUUGACUGCGAGGCCCACAAGCCGAGCAGGUGCGAAAGCAGGCUCUAGUGAUCCGGCGGCCCCGAGUGGGUGGGCCGUCGCUCAACGGAUAAAAGGUACUCCGGGGAUAACAG